UUUUGUGGAAGAAAGAAAUACAAGUUUUAUUUAUAAGAAUGAGAAUGACAUAAGCAGUUCAGUGAAUGGAGGAGAAAAAAGACCUAUUAUCACCUACAGACCAAUCCUUAAGGUUAACAUUGCAAAAUUUCAGUUACAUUAACAGGUAACCAAAUAACAGAUGCAUUUUCACAAAUAACACAUUUAUGCAUUUUACAUAUUAUUCAUGUACUUUCAAAUCAUUAUCCAUUCACAAUAUUUUAACGUGAUAUGUAUAUUAAAGACUCCUUUAUUCACUUGUGAGAAUGAUCAACUUAAUUCACUUGACUUCAGCAGACUAGUACAGGAAAGGUACUUACAAUAGGAAAUAUUUUCUGUAAAAAGAACUACAGGUCUGAAAAGUCAAUUAGCAUUUUAAGACUGUCCCCCCAGUAGAAAAGUGAGUGCGUUAAGUUUCACAAGUGGUUUAAGCUUUAGCAAUAAUAGAACUUCCAGAUAGUAAGCAAAUCAAAUACUCUAUACACACUCAACAAAACCUCCUUGUGCAUGUUUUGCUGAGCACAGACUGAAAGCUAAAAUUGCAAAGCACUGAGAGCAGUUUGGGGUUUGUUUGGCUUUUUUUUUUUCCUUUUUUUUCUUUUUUUCCUUAAACCAUUUAGAAAAAUAUUGGUCAAGGUAUAGUGCACAGCCAUGGGGCUGAGGGAAAGAGUUCCUAAAACUCCAUAGCACAAGCAGCAUUUUUGUUUUAGCGAAAUCCACCACAAAACGUCUGCCUUUCCUGAAAGGUUAAUGGCAGUUUCUGGAACAAAACAGAAAUACAUUUGCUGCUUAAUGAAUCAUCAUUAUAUGACUUUCAUUCUAAUGGACAUUAGAAUACUAACUAAUUGACUGAGGUAUAGUUAAGAGUCCUUCAAAGUUUAGAUUAUAUAGUCUUGAGCAAAGUAGCAACAGAGGCUGCACAAAACAAUCAUAGUGAUAUUAGAAAAGCCUGUAGUACCCAGCAUCUGAUGCGUAGGCAGAACAUACCAUUUAUCAUCACCCGCCUGUCUAAAGGAAAAUACAGCUAAAAAAAUUCCCAGUAAAACAUACAGCUGAUCUGCACGCUAGGAUACAGCACGUUUCUCAAUGUCUGACAAGGCAGACUGUACACAGAAACAGGUCUAUACUGACCAAAAGUUAGCACACCGAUAAAGUGCAGCCACUCAGCCAUUUAAUACUGCUGGAGAAGAGGGGUGAGGGCAAAACAGCAAAAAAAGAGAGAGAGAAAUCUGCAUUUUACCUUAUCCAUAAGACCACAUGAAAUUAGAAUUCUUCAGUUUCAGCAGGGGACAACAAAAUUGCAUUAAAGUCUUCUACAAAUAGAAAAAGAUGAACUUUACAUGAACAUUAAGCAACGUGAAAUAUUUACUGCAUUAUUUUAUCAUGCAUAAAGUGAGUUUCCUAUGGUCUUACCUCACAUUUAUGUACAGUUUAGCACAGCUAAAUGUAAGAAAAUAGCAAGGUUUUUUUCUCCCCACUCCC
rnacentral:lncRNA from 1 species